AUGCAUAACAGAAUGUCCAGGUGGCAACAAGGUAUUGGAGAUCAUGAUUUGGAAUCAGAAUCAGAAGUGUAUAAAAGAGGGAAGGAGGAAUGUGUGAUGCAGGAAAUUCGAAAGAGGGAUCAACAUUUUGUAUUGGCUGAAAAUGGUACUUUUGCUGGUGCAAAUGAAAUUCACAAUGACGUUUUUAAUUCUAUAAUCUUGUACCAAUUAAUUGGAUUCAAUUGGAUCAAUGAGAUGACUUAG